GCGGCAGGCCUAACACAUGCAAGUCGAACGGUAACAGGAGCACUUGCUGCUUCGCUGACGUGGCGGACGGGUGAGUAAUGUCUGGGAAACUGCCUGAUGGAGGGGGAUACUACUGGAAACGGUAGCUAAUACCGCAUAACGUCGCAAGCCCAAAGAGGGGGCCUUCGGCCUCUUGCCAUCGGAUGUGCCCAGAUGGGAUUAGCUAGUAGGUGGGGUAACGGCUCACCUAGGCGACGAUCCCUAGCUGGUCUGAGAGGAUGACCAGCCACACUGGAACUGAGACACGGUCCAGACUCCUACGGGAGGCAGCAGUGGGGAAUAUUGCACAAUGGGCGCAAGCCUGAUGCAGCCAUGCCGCGUGUAUGAAGAAGGCCUUCGGGUUGUAAAGUACUUUGCAGCGGGGAGGAAGGCGAUAAGGUUAAUAACCUUGUCGAUUGACGUUACCCGCAGAAGAAG
rnacentral:rRNA from 1 species